GAGUAACACGUACUCAACGUACCUUUUAGUUUGGGAUAGCGAACGGAAACGUUCGAUAAUACCAAAUACUUAUUAUCAUCGCAUGAUGAUGAUAUAAAAGAAGCGUUUGCUUCGCUAAAAGAUCGGGGUGCGCAACAUUAGCUAGUUGGUGAGGUAACGGCCCACCAAGGCGAUGAUGUUUAGCGGGGUUGAGAGACUGAACCGCCACACUGGGACUGAGAUACGGCCCAGACUCCUACGGGAGGCAGCAGUAGGGAAUAUUCCACAAUGAGCGAAAGCUUGAUGGAGCGACACAGCGUGCAGGAUGAAGGUCCUAUGGAUUGUAAACUGCUGUGGUAAGGGAAGAAAAAGUAGUGUAGGAAAUGACAUUACCUUGACGGUACCUUAUUAGAAAGCAACGGCUAACUAUGUGCCAGCAGCCGCGGUAAUACAUAGGUUGCAAGCGUUAUCCGGAAUUAUUGGGCGUAAAGCGUCUGUAGGUUGUUUGUUAAGUCUGGCGUCAAAUUUUGGGGCUCAACCCCAAACCGCGUUGGAUACUGGCAAACUAGAGUUGUGUAGAGGUUAGCGGAAUUCCUUGUGAAGCGGUGAAAUGCGUAGAUAUAAGGAAGAACACCAAUAUGGCGAAGGCAGCUAACUGGGCAUAUACUGACACUGAGAGACGAAAGCGUGGGGAGCAAACAGGAUUAGAUACCCUGGUAGUCCACGCCCUAAACGAUGAUCAUUAGUUGAUGGAUAAUUCAUCGACGCGCUAACGCAUUAAAUGAUCCGCCUGAGUAGUACGUUCGCAAGAAUAAAACUUAAAGGAAUUGACGGGGAUCCGCACAAGCGGUGGAGCAUGUGGUUUAAUUUGAAGAUACGCGUAGAACCUUACCCACUCU
rnacentral:rRNA from 1 species